GGGGGAUCGCAGUCUAAAAGGUGGAAAAAUAACUGGUACAUUUUUAUCCACAGGGUGAUAAGCUGUGACUGUUGCUCUAAAUCGAACACUUUUGAUGACUCACGACACCACAACAGAUUGAUUCAGUUUGUUUUGUCGUGUUACAACUGUACCAUGGUUCUAAAGCUGUAGAAGAAGACCUUGUGUGACAGAGUGUGACAAUCUCCUCUAGCUGUAACAUGGCAGAGUGAUCAUAACCUCACAUACUGAAGAUGAGUUCAUCGCCAAAGCUCUGACAACCUACUGUCACAGCGACUCUGGCUAUGGCUGAUAUAUGGCAUGAAAAGAAGGGAAGAGAGAAGAUGCGCUCACAGCCAGCAAUAUGUCACCGCUUGCUUCCCUCCAACCACAGCAAACAUUCUCCCUCUCCCUACUGGGAAUGAAUUUGCAAGGAUUUGACCUUGAGAUCUUUGUUGUUGGAAUACUGAUGUGCAUUUGACGUUUGUUAUAUAAUCUGUUGAAAUCUAUACCGUGCAAGUUGGGACUAGGCAUGUGUCAAUAUUACAAUUCUGGCCGAUACUGGUAAGACAAUAAUUAUUUUCAUGUUACGGCCUAUUUUAAAAUUCUACACUAAAAACUAAAAUCGAUAAUUUGAAGUGAAUUCAGAAAAUGGAUACCCCAUUUUGGUAACACUUUAUUUCGAUGGUCUACUUUAGACAUACUAACUAUACGUAGUCAACUAAGUUUUAGUAGACUGUUAGGUUUGGGUUAGUUGAAUAAGUUGACACGUAUUUGCAAAGUAACUUAUAUUUAGUAGAAUGUCUGUUGGGGAGCAUCAAAAUAAAGUGUUAGCAGAUAUUAAGCAGACAGUCUACUAAUACUCUAAUGAGAGUUAGUUGACAUGUAGUUGCAAAGUUACUUAUAUUUAGUAGAAUGUCUAAAGUGGACCAUCUAAAUAAGUGUUUCCAUAUUUUGUCAUAUUUUCUAAACAUUAAAUUUCUUGUUUUAUUAAAUUAUUAAUGUUUUAAGUGACUGUUAGAUGAGAACAAAGGCAAACUAAAUGUAAAUUAAGGUAAAUGAGCAUGUAUAAUUAAAUAUCUGAUAUAUAAAUAUUAUAUACUGUACAAACACAAAUAUUAACGAGAAAAACAUACCUGUGGGAACGUUUUCGAGAGUCGCAAAAUACGUAGGCUACCAAUACGUACAUAUCACUGCAGUUUCAAUGUGAAAUGUCCACUGAGGGGCGCUAAAAGCGUAGUGCUCCAUUAUUUUUUAAAAUAACGUACACCAACACUACACCUAAACCUACCCGAUAGUGUUAACAAAAGCAAAUGUGACAUAAAAAGCAUCCGUAAUCGUGCCGUUUUAGCUUGUUUUGAUCUCUUUUAUCGUGACUCAUUUUUCUCCGGACUCGUACCCAAGGCUUCCUCUUACUAAAUCCAACUCCGUAUCAGCUGAGCCAACGAGCAAGCUUGUUAUGAUAGAAAAGCGAAACAUAUGGAGCUGGUUAACCGAUGCAAAGUCCAAAAUAUAUUCAUUUGCAAAUCGUGCACUUUGGUAAAAAGCGUUUUGAAGUCAUAACCAGGUUGAUAUUAACUGAUAUAAUAUUAAUGUUAUACCCACUAUUGGUACCAAUAUAGUACCAAUACUGUAUAUUGGGAAUAUUAGACAUGUUAAUUGCUAAUUUAAGCAAAUUUGUGUCUAUGAACAUGUAGUUGCAAGAAAAAUAACCCUAAUUAAACACACCUGAACCAGCUAAUCAAAGGCUGUUUCUGAAAAUCGGCCCAUAUACCCUUUUAUGAUGAUUUAUGCAAGGCUUAAGCCUAGUCCCAGACUAAAAUGCAUGUUUGAGUUGUCUUAACUGAAAGCAAUUUGCACUGACAUAUCUUCAAAUAUGUCAGUGUCAUUGUUUUGUCUCAAGACGGACACCAGUAAUGUUUAUUUAUAAAGCAUGUGUAUAAAACCUACUUAAAUGUCCUAAUAUAACUAAGGCCUAAUCCUGGCUUAAUCUAAUCCCUGUCUGUGGAACCGAGCCAUAAUGUAUAAUGUAGUGAAUAAUGAGGUCAUAAGGGACGAUUUCAGACAUAGCCAAGGUCUUCAGGAUUAGAAACUUCCAGGUAUGUGUGUUGGGGCUGGACGUUGACCGUGAGCAGGACUGAACACCUGUUCUAGAUUAAAAAGAGAGCAAUUGAGACUUUUGAACUGAAGUCAACUGCUGCAAUCUCAUAUAUGUCUGUAGAGUUUUAGUAGAAAUCUCAAUGUCUGAGUAGGUACUAUGUUUGAAUUUGAACUUACCUCACAACCAUUAAAAAAUAGGUUCUAUAUAUU